CGUUAACCACUGCGCCACGACGGGAACUCCAGAAGUUUGGGGUUUCUAAACAUGAUUGGGGUGUAGGAAAGAGCCACACGUUCACAACUCUGCAAGACUAUUUAUAAUUUCUUUUCAUCAGGAAAAGAAAAACAUAUCUUUGGUAAUGUGCCAAUUCUCAGCAAUUAAUGGCACGUCUUUCCUUGGGAAAAGAUACAAUUAAAAUCCUCCUGAAGUCGUUGCUCCCUGACUGCGGUGGAUACCAGGGCUGCUCACAGAUGCUUCUCUUUCCUUCCCAACACACACGGUGGGCUGUGCUCUCCCGCCCACUUGCCGUGUCCUCACGUGACACGUGAUUGGCCAAUGAAGAGACGGGAGGCUUUGAAAGGCAGGCGGCGGCACCACCUUUUCUUCUUUCCGGUCGUGGCAACAGGCAACAUCCCUGCCGGCGGCGGCUCUGCUGCCUGGGGCCGGGACUGAGCAGGACAGCGGUGGUGGCACAGGACCUCUGCUUGACCCUGAUAGAGAGUGGGGUGCCUAAGGAAGAAACCUGCAAAUUUAAGCCCCUGAAUCUGUAGACCGACUCUUAAGCACAGCGGGAUCUGACCUGUGCUGGCUGAAAUGCCAGGCAACUCGAGUUCAUCUUCAUCAUUCCCGCCUCUUCGGAUGCUGGCUCCGCUGCUCGCAACUGGGGGGGAAGCGCUACAUGCAGAGAGUCUCGCUAGGAGCUGGGCGCCUUCCAGCUCCCAUCUCGUACAUUUUCACAAUAAGCGGAAAGGCGAGUGUCAGUAACCACACUUUCCCUGUAAGAACAGAGAAGGGAAGUGACUUGCCCCAGCUCCCCGGCUCGCAGCAGAGCUGAGACAGGAAGACAGGUUUUCUGAAUAUCACACGAAGCUGGGCAGGGCCUCCUGUUACUGCUUAGGAACCAAGGGGCCUGAGCCGUGGGAAGCUUUCUUUCAGCAUGGUCCCCCACUUAGAGGUGACUGUCACCCUCCCACUAAAUGGCGAGGAAAUAAAUCCUUGGCAUGCAGCCCCUGAAAGGGAUUUCCCAGGUGCUGGAAGCGUAUUUUGUUUCAGUGAGGUGGCUCUGGGGCUUCAGGAUGCAGGCCGGUCAGCAGAAAUAUCACGACUGGAAGCUCGGAGCUGUCAGCUGCACCCUCCAUCCUCUGGGAAGCCCAGAGGGGCUGGGGAUUGAGUUAAUGACAGGUGGGGCACUAGUGAUAAAACUUCCACAAAAAUCUGCAAAGUAUGGGACUUGGAGUGCCUCCAGUUGGGGAACGUGCAGAGGUGUCAUGCGGAGUGCGUGCCCCGAGAGCGAAUGGAAACGCCCCAGCCCUUCCCACGCACCUGGCUGUAGGUACCUCUUCACCUGGCUGUUCAUCAGUAUCCUUGAUUUUACCCUCUUGUGAAUAAACUGGUAGGUAUGAGGAGGUGGUUCCCUGGGUUCUGUAAUCUGUUCCAGCAAAUGUUCUAAUCCAAGGAGGGGGCCCUGGGAACUUCUGCCUCUCAGGCAAGUCAGGCACAAGUAAGGGGGACCUCGGGAUCUACUGCUGGUGAUGGGCAUCUCAGGUCGGGGUCUAGGGGACGGCAUUGUGGGACUGAGCCCUUCACCUUCGGAGUCUGUGUUAACUUCAGUUGUGGUCAGAAGUGAAUUGAACGGACCCAGUGCUGUCAGAGAAUUGGCUGCUCUGGGAGAAGCCGUUGGGAAAGUGGUCAACGACCAAAUGGAGGGAAGAUCUUACUCUGUUUUUUAUUUGGAACUUGAUCAAGAAAUGUUCACUGUUGCGGAAAAUACCCACUGCAAUGCUUGCCGCUCGUGGAGUUUGAGUCACCAGAAUGACACACCUGCACCGGCCUGCCUUGGAAGCUGUCCCUGCAAAAAUGUAACCCAGGAGCUCUGACGUUGCCUUCAAUAGAUUUAAAAUCCCGCAUUUCUAAGCUGGCGGAGAUGCUUCCGUUGCAUUCUCUCAUUUAACUCCUUCAUUGUAAGUGAAUAAAAGCAACUGACUACG